rnacentral:rRNA from 1 species
GGACUACCCGGGUAUCUAAUCCUGUUUGAUCCCCACACUUUCGAGCCUCAGUGUCAGUUAUAGUUUCGUCAGCUGCCUUCGCAAUCGGUGUUCUAUGACAUCUCUAUGUAUUUCACCACUACAUGUCAUAUUCCGCCAACGGCAACUAUACUCAAGACCAACAGUAUCAAUGGCAAUUUCCGAGUUAAGCUCGGAGAUUUCACCACUGACUUAUCAGUCCACCUACGCUCCCUUUAAACCCAAUGAAUCCGGAUAACGCUUGCAUCCUUCGUCUUACCGCGGCUGCUGGCAC